AUUGAACGCUGGCGGCAGGCCUAACACAUGCAAGUCGAGCGCGAAAGGCUUUCGGGCUGAGUAGAGCGGCGGACGGGUGAGUAACGCGUAGGAAUCUACCUGGUAGUGGGGGACAACUUGGGGAAACUCAAGCUAAUACCGCAUACGCCCCAUGGGGGAAAGCGGGGGACCUUCGGGCCUCGCGCUAUCAGAUGAGCCUGCGUAGGAUUAGCUAGUUGGUGAGGUAAAGGCUCACCAAGGCGACGAUCCUUAGCUGGUCUGAGAGGAUGA
rnacentral:rRNA from 1 species